AGUGAACGCUGGCGGUAGGCUUAAAACAUGCAAGUCGAACGGCAGCAUAGUAAGAGCUUGCUCUUACGGGUGGCGAGUGGCGGACGGGUGAGGAAUAAAUCGGACUCUACUUUUUCGUGGGGGAUAACGUAGGGAAACUUACGCUAAUACCGCAUAAGACCUUUGGGUGAAAGCAAGGGUUCUUCGGAUCUUGCCGGAAACAAUGAGCCGAUGUCGGAUUAUCUAGUUGGCGGGUUAAAGGCCCACCAAGGCGACGAUCCGUAACUGGUCUGAGAGGAUUAUCGGCCACACUCGAACUCAUGCACUUUCCAGACUCCUACGGUAGGCACCAGUGGAGAAUAUUGGACAAUGGUCGCAUGCCUGAUCCAGCCAUACCGCGUGGGUGAAUAAGGCCAUCGCUUUGUAAACCCCUCCUGUUGUGAAAGAAAAGCAGCAAUUUAAUACCCCGCUUUUCUGGCGUUACCCAGAAUAUAAGCACCGUCUAACUUCGUG
rnacentral:rRNA from 1 species